GACGAACGCUGGCGGCGUGCUUAACACAUGCAAGUCGAACGGAAGGGCCCUGCGUUUGUGGGGUUCUCGAGUGGCGAACGGGUGAGUAACACGUGUGUAACCUGCCCUUGACUUUGGGAUAACUUCAGGAAACUGGGGCUAAUAUCGGAUAGGAGCUCCUGCUGCAUGGUGGGGGUUGGAAAGUUUCGGCGGUGGGGGAUGGACUGGCGGCUUAUCAGCUUGUUGGUGGGGUAGUUGCUUACCAAGGCUUUGACGGGUAGCCGGCAUGGGAGCGUUGCCGGGGACAUUGGGACUGAGAUAGGGACCAGAAUCCUACGGGCGGCAGCGGGCGGGAACAUUACACAGUGGGCCGACGCCUGAUGCGACAGCGCCCGGUGCGGGAUGCCGGCCUUCGGGUUAUGAACAGCUUUCGCCUGUGACGAAGCGUGCGUGACGGUACUGGGUCAAGAAGCACCGGCUAACUACGUG
rnacentral:rRNA from 1 species